UACUCCCCAGGCGGGGUACUUAUUGCGUUAACUCCGGCACAGAAGGGGUCGAUACCUCCUACACCUAGUACCCAUCGUUUACGGCCAGGAUUACCGGGGUAUCUAAUCCCGUUCACUCCCCUGGCUUUCGCGCCUCAGCGUCAGACACAGUCCAGAAAGUCGCCUUCGCCACUGGUGUUCCUCCUAAUAUCUACGCAUUUCACCGCUACACUAGGAAUUCCACUUUCCUCUCCUGCACUCAAGAAAUGUAGUUUCCAUCCCAUCACGGGGUUGAGCCCCGAACUUUUAAGACAGACUUACAUUCCCGCCUGCGCGCGCUUUACGCCCAAUAAUUCCGGACAACGCUUGCCACCUACGUAUUACCGCGGCUGCUGGCACGUAGUUAGCCGUGGCUUCCUCCUCAGGUACCGUCAUUACUUAACAUUAUUCACAUUAAGCACAUUCGUCCCUGAAGACAGAGCUUUACGAUCCGAAAACCUUCUUCACUCACGCGGCGUUGCUCCGUCAGACUUUCGUCCA
rnacentral:rRNA from 1 species